CUGCAGCAGGCUCACUUGGCAGCGUUUUAGAUUAGCUGAAGCAUCUUCGAUAAAUUGGCUGUCUUCGGCUGUCAGUUUAUUAGCAGCUUAUCAGCUUAGUUGUCAAGAUGGGUGGCUGUUGGUCAUGUGUGGCCUGCAGGUCUCACCCAGAAGCAGAACCAAAGGAUGAAGAUGAAGAGGGGGCACUGACAGGUCAUCCCAGAAACCCAACCCAUGUUGUACCAUUUUCUGGGGGACUCCCCAAUGUUUUGGAGGACACUCUGGGGAAAGAGCUCACUGAGGAACCCUCCGUGCCAGAACCUCUUCCAGCACCUUGUAUCACCAACAACAUCCUGGUGGAAGAGCUCACUGAGGAACCCUCCGUGCCAGAACCUCUUCCAGCACCUCACAUGACCAAAGACAUCCUGGAGGAAGAGCUCACUGAGGAACCCUCCGAGCCAGAACCUCUUCUAGCACCUCACAUGACCAAAGACAUCCUGGAGGAAGAGCUCACUGAGGAACCCUCCGUGCCAGAAGUUCGGCUGCAGCGGUGGGAAAGGGAAGGUAUGUUCACAGCAUGCCCCUGAAAUUGCUGCUGGGCUAAGAACAGCUCUUUUGCUCUGUUUAUUUCAUGUUGAAAUGCUUGAUUUGAGUCUGCAUCUAAGAUUUCAGAGGGGAGGCCUGUGAGUGGCUUGUCAGUGCUUGCUGAAGUGUUCCUUCGUUUUCUGUCUUUCAUGUGUCCAAGCUCCUGUGCCUGUAAUCCAAGCAGCUUCUCAGAGUGAGCAGUGAGGGCAAGUGAUGGUGGGUGUGGUAGGAUGUCAGCCUUUGCAGCUGACCUCCUGCUUCUUCUUCUCUCUUGCAGAUGUUCCUGCAGACCCUGCUGCACUUCUCCAGCCCUCUGGGUCUGAGUCAUCAUUGUCCUCUGCCUCCCAUGAGGUUGCCUCCAUCCCACCCUCUACCUCCACCUCUUCCCUCCUCCUGCAUCCCUCUCCACCUCCUCCUUCUUCUCCACCUCUUCUGGAGCCGGACCUCAGCAAUGUAAAAGAAACUCUGCAGAGUUUGGUAGAGAUCCAGGUCCUCUGCCAAAGAGACCUCCGUAGCUGCCAGGAAUGUGUACAAAGCUUCAAGGCACUGAGGGGACAACUGAGGUGGCUAAGGAGCAGACUGGCCAGGGUGGAAGCCACUAUGGGGAUCGUGGUUCCUCCAAGGGAGCUGUACAUUGCUGAGGAAGAAGGGGAAGGCAAAUUAAAAGAGACAACUGUGCUACUAUUUACAUAAGUAGCAAUAAAAUGCUAUGUAUAUAUUUUUAAAAUAUUAAAUAUUUGUUUUAAUAGGAUGUAGAGAUAGAACAGCAAUAAAACUAGCAUAUUUAUUGUUUAAAAAAAUAAAAUGUUUUAUUUUAA